rnacentral:rRNA from 1 species
AUGGCCAUGACCACGACCACGCCCUCGCAAUCCCAUUCCCAGCCGCUUCCAGUAAUCCUACUCCUGUUCCUCCUCCUUUCAGCGGCGAUUCCUCACUUGAUCCUGGAGGCUGCUGCUGCUGAGCAAGAUGAGCAGCAGCCGAUCACACUUGCGGAUUGCCCCAACAAGUGCGGCAACAUGAGCAUUCCCUACCCGUUCGGCAUGAAGCCUGGCUGCUUCCGCGAGGGCUUCCAGGUCACCUGCAAUGACUCCUUCAAUCCUCAUCGCGCCUACCUUGCCAACAGCGGAGCAUAUCAGCAUAUAUUCGAGGAGCACGACAGGGUGGAGCCAGAGUGGAGUCAAGUUUGGAAUAGAUCACUGGAUAAUACGGCGUUUGAGCUCAUCGAUAUAUCCAUUGCAAAUGGUGAGGCGCGAGCCUAUGGCGCGGUAUCAUCUGUCUGCAGCCAAAAUCGAAACGAUUACAUAAGCAAUAAUCAAAUGAUGCAUUUGGGCAACAAGAUAAGUCCGUUCCUCCUGUCGACAGAGCGCAAUGUUCUCAUCGGCGUCGGCUGGAGAGUCCAGAUUAGGGUCUAUAGCCAUCUAUGGUCGCCGUCAGUACCUGGCAACUCACAGAAGGAAUUAAUGCUCUCCUGCAUUUCAGAUCUCAUGGAGCCGCAGUUCCUCGCGUUCGCGACCAACGGGUCAUGCAAGGGGCGGGGCUGCUGUGAAGCUGCCUUGCCGGAAGCGCUUCCCAUCACCGUGCUUGGUCUGGCGUUCACUAUGAGCCAAACAAACACGUUGUUUAAGACCAACCCGUGCUCCUACGCCAUGGUGGUGGAGAGCUUAUGGUACAACUUCUCCACGCCAGACAUGUAUGGCUACGAGGUGCUACCCAAUAGAUACCCGAGGGGCGUCCCUUUCGUGAUCGAUUUCUCCAUCCCGAACGGUUCAUGUCCGGCGAAAGGCCAACCGCCACCUCCAGACUACGCCUGCGUCAGCGGCAACAGCUCCUGUGCCAACGCGACUAGUGGCCAGGGGUAUGUCUGCAAAUGCUUGGACCAUUACGAUGGCAACCCUUACAUCGUCAAUGGAUGCCAAGACAUCAAUGAGUGCAAGCUCCGCGAUUUGUAUCCUUGCUCCGCUGACGGGGUAUGCAAAAAUAGGUUAGGAGGCUAUGAUUGUCCAUGUAAACCAGGAAUGAAAGGCGACGGCAUUAAAGGAACCUGCGCAGAUAAAUUCCCCAUAGCAGCACGGGUGAUUUUGGGUGGAAUAGGUGGUGUUUUUGUCAUUGCAGCAAUAUCAUUGCUUAUUCUUCUUCACAAAGAGAAAAAGAAAACUAGAGAAUUUUAUGAGAAGAACGGUGGGCGAACAUUAGAGAAGGCAAAUUUCAUAAAACUGUUUGAGAAGGAGAAGCUCAAGCCAAUUUUGAAGAGUAGCAAUUUUAUUGGAAAAGGUGCCUUCGGUGAAGUUUACAAGGGCCUUCUUGAUAAUGAACAAGUCGCUGUUAAGAAACCUAUUACUGGUAGUGUGCUGGAGAAUGAACAAUUUGCAAAUGAAGUCAUCAUUCAAUCUCAAAUCAUCCACAAGAACAUCGUUAGGCUUGUGGGUUGUUGCCUAGAAGUUGAUGCCCCGAUUCUAGUCUAUGAGUUUCUCUGCAAUGGUAGCCUCGAUGACAUUCUUCAUGACAACAGGAAGGUGCCUCUGAACUUGGGUGUGCGUUUAAGUAUUGCCGCAGAAUCAGCUGAUGGUCUGGUUUAUAUGCACUCAAAAACCAGUACCAAGAUCCUACAUGGUGAUGUUAAACCAGCAAAUAUACUUUUGGAUGAUAAGUUUGUGCCAAAGAUCUCAGAUUUUGGCAUAUCAAGGUUGAUUGCGAGAGACAUACAACAUACUGGAUCUAUCAUUGGUGACAUGAGUUAUAUGGAUCCAGUAUAUCUGCAAACAGGGCUACUAACAGAAAAAAGUGAUGUCUAUAGUUUUGGAGUUGUCAUCUUGGAGCUUAUUAGUAGGAAGAAAGCCACACAUUCCGACGGCGGUAGCUUAGUAAACAAUUUCCUUGAAGCUUACAAGAAAGAGAAGAAAGCAACUCCAUUAUUUGACGAGGAAAUUGCGGUAACAGAAGACUUGGAGAUUCUUGAUAGCUUGGCCUCUAUCGCUGUGGAAUGUCUUAACCUUGAUGUGGAUCAAAGACCAUGGAUGACAGACGUAGCAGAGCGUCUUAUCAUACUGGAUCGAUCCCGUAAGUCACAAUUUACGCUGCAUGUUCCAGUUUGA